GGAGAGAUGGAUGAGUGGUUUAAGUCGCACGCCUGGAAAGCGUGUUCAGGGUGAUACCCUGACGGGGCUCGAAUCCCCCUCUCGA
rnacentral:tRNA from 1 species